UACGAAGGGGGCUAGCGUUGCUCGGAAUCACUGGGCGUAAAGGGCGCGUAGGCGGGUGCUCAAGUCCGGGGUGAAAUCCUCCAGCUCAACUGGAGAACUGCCUCGGAUACUGGGUGUCUCGAGGGUGGUAGGGGUAUGCGGAACUAUCGGUGGAGCGGUGAAAUGCGUUGAUAUCCAGCGGAACUCCGGUGGCGAAGGCGGCUCGCUGGACCUUAACUGACGCUGAGGCGCGAAAGCCAGGGGAGCGAACGGG
rnacentral:rRNA from 1 species